GAUGCAAUAUCAGCUAUUCCACGACCAGAGAUGGUCUCACCAUGGAAAAUAGAACCUGCCUUGCUUAUAAUCACUGUUCUAAUUUUGUGAACUUCAGGUACAAUGGGAUGCAAUAUCAGCUAUUCCACGACCAGAGAUGGUCUCACCAUGGAAAAUACAACCUGCCUUGACCCCGUUAGAAAUUAAUCCUUUGCCGAUAGCCAAAAUGAAGAGAUCCGACCAAACAUACUGCCUUCAACACAAAAUUUGUCAGUUCUCGAUAAGACAUCAGUUGAUUUUACACAGUUGCAAAGAUUUAAUACAAUGGUCUCACAAGGUCAAGAAGUUAUGACCUCGGGAGUAUCUUUGGGUGAAAAUAACGUUUACAGUGUUCCAAGGACAGUUGUGUGGGGGCCAAAGCUAGACGAUGUCAAAACAAAAGGUGUAUUCUCUCAAGGAAGAUUGGUCUAUGUAUAUUGUAUCCCACUGCAAAGGCAUGACUCAGCAUAUAAAGACUCGUUUCCCAGUUCUCAGGGCAUUAGUGGAUUGCACGAACUGUGUGGAUCAUAUACUAAUCAUAUUGUGGAAGAUCCACAACAAAUGAAGCUUUCCCAAAAAACAUUUCAGGAAAUGAAUGAGUCUAAUCAGAAACAAUAUCUGACAUCAAAUCCAUCAAAAAAUAGAGUUUUUCUCAAGCAGUGAGCCAAAUCCAUCAAAAAAUAGAGUUUCUGUCAACGAGGAAGACCUACAUGUUUCUGUUCAUACCCCAGAAGAAUUUCUUUCACUAUUCCCAUAGGUUGACCAACAGUUGGUGCAAACAAGAAUGAUCAAGUCUGAUACAUCUGCGAUGAGCUAUGUGCAAGAAACAUCAUCUUGGAGACCAUUACAAGAAAUACAGUGCAGAUGUCAGAGAAGGAGCUGGACUAAUGUAUUAAUCAUUUUACAUUUCUGUAGGACAGAAAUUAAAAUUUUGUAAAUUUUAUAUAUUCUUGGAAAGAUUCUUACAGUUCAGAACCGUAUUUUUCAUUUCAAUGUAGAUACAUAAGCAGGGUAAUGCUCUUGGGCGAGCUCUGGAUUUACAAAAUUUGAAGGAUACAGAGAGAUCACUCAUGAGCUUGACGUGAUGUUCAAUUUUGAAGCACAACUGGAGGAUCCAAGCAAAGGCUGGCAACUUGUCUACACAGAUGAUGAGGGAGAUAUGAUGCUUGUAGCAGAUGAUCCGUGGCAGGAGUUUUGCAGUGCUUUACAUAAGAUUUUUAUAUAUACCCGAGACGAGGUUGAUAAAAUGAUCCCCAGGAGUUUAGAGCUCAGGAGAAAGUUUGUAGAAGAACCGAUCACUAGCGAUAUCUCUACUCUUGCAGCCACUGAUGCUCGACACACAUAAUGAGUCAAUUCUAAUAUGAGUUACUUCCUGUCACUGGACUGCGAAUAGGAAUUUUUCUACAGUAUGUUGUCAUGACUGGCAGAUAAUUUGGAUGACUUUGUAAGAAUGUGAU